rnacentral:tRNA from 2 species
GCCGAAGUAGCUCAGUGGUAGAGCAACGGUUUCGUAAACCGUCGGUCGUGGGUUCGAGUCCCACCUUCGGCUCCA